CACUGACCUAUUUACUGUCUCUCUAGUUUUUCCCUUUCUAGAAUAUCUCAGAGUUGGAGUUAUAUCCUUUUCAGAUUGACUUCUUUUGCCUACCAUGCAUGUAAGUUUCUUCCAUGUCUUUUUUGUGUGUGACAGCUCAUUUCCUUGGGGCACUCAACAAUAUGCCAAUGUAUCAAUGUGUCACGAACUUUUUCCUGAUCAGUGGUUUACUGUUUACCUUGUUUUAGGAUCGGACCAUGAGACUAUGGAAUAUUGAAGACAUUGACCAAAUUCCUUUGGUAAUCAAGUACAAAAAGACCAUGGGCUUAACGAUGAAACAGUGUGAAAGAUGCAGCAGGCCUUUCUCCAUCUUCGAAAGCAACAGCUCUUCUGAGAUACUCACCAAGUGUGUGUUCUGCCGGAGACAGGCAGGGGACUCACUACUGGACGCUUCACUGUCGUCAGAGGAGUACAAGGAGGACUGACAGCCACUGGGCCCUUAAAGUGACCUGAGCAUUAGCCACCUGUCCUGCAGGUUGCAGGGCUCUGCAGAGACCUUUUUCUGGGGCCCCUCAUCAGCUGAGUGGGCCGAUCACACCUGGGCAGGGACCACCCCUAGGCCCGGCUCCCAGCACCAGCCACCUCAGCACCACAGCACCCUUGGGGGAUGAACACUUUGGGUUUUCACGCAGAGUAAAUCUAGAUUCCUUUGGAAAGCUAGUGUGCGUGUGAAUUGUA
rnacentral:lncRNA from 1 species